rnacentral:tRNA from 1 species
GGUAGCGUGGCCGAGUUGGUCUAAGGCGUUGGAUUUAAGUUCUUGAAUCCCAAUGGGCGCAAGUCCGCGCGAGUUCGAACCUCGCCGCUACCA